AGGUGAUAUGAACCGUUAUAACCGGCGAUACCCGAAUGGGGAAACCCAGUGUGAUUCGUCACACUAUCAUUAACUGAAUCCAUAGGUUAAUGAGGCGAACCGGGGGAACUGAAACAUCUAAGUACCCCGAGGAAAAGAAAUCAACCGAGAUUCCCCCAGUAGCGGCGAGCGAACGGGGAGGAGCCCAGAGCCUGAAUCAGCAUGUGUGUUAGUGGAAGCGUCUGGAAAGGCGCGCGAUACAGGGUGACAGCCCCGUACACAAAAGCGCAUGUGCUGUGAGCUCGAUGAGUAGGGCGGGACACGUGGUAUCCUGUCUGAAUAUGGGGGGACCAUCCUCCAAGGCUAAAUACUCCUGACUGACCGAUAGUGAACCAGUACCGUGAGGGAAAGGCGAAAAGAACCCCGGCGAGGGGAGUGAAAAAGAACCUGAAACCGUGUACGUACAAGCAGUGGGAGCACCCUUCGGGGUGUGACUGCGUACCUUUUGUAUAAUGGGUCAGCGACUU
rnacentral:rRNA from 1 species